rnacentral:ncRNA from 1 species
GUUAAGUUUUAUUCUUGCUUUUCCGUUCAGUAUUUAUUUGUUCUAUAUGUAAGUUUUUGCGUGAUUAUGGUUUGAAUUGCUCUAGAUGGGCUUAGGCAUUUAAGGUAUUUUAUUCUCAUUAGUUGUUAUUGGUUCAUCAAGUAUCCUUGUAAUUAGCAAUGUAUUUUUAGUUUCGGUUAAAUUUUGUGCCAGCAGCCGCGGUUAUACCUUGGAAGCAUUUGAAUGUGUUUGGCUAUAGGUAGUUAUAUUAUUUAUUUUUUGAUUAUGUUUUGAUUAUUGUUAGGUGAAAUUUUUAUUUUUGUUUGUUGUCCUUAUUAUAUUUGGAGGCUAUGAAAUUCUUUUUAUAGACUAGGAUUAGAUACCCUAUUAUUUUAGAAUGUUAAUUGUUUUUUUGCUUGAGUAGUAUUAGUUAUGUUCUUGAAACUUAAAGAAUUUGGCGGUAUCUCAUUCCUUUCAGAGGAAUCUGUCUCUUUAUCGAUAGUCCGCGUUGGAUCUUACUUAGUUGAUUUGGUUUGUAUACCGCCGUUUAAUUGAUUAUCUUUUUAGAGUUUACUAAAUUUUCUGGUUUCUUUAUUUUGAUUUAUUUCAGGUCAAGGUGCAGCUUGUUUCUAAGUGAAUGAUGGAUUACAUUAGUAUUGGAUUGUGGAUUAUUGAUUAAAAUAUUGAUAUGAAAUUGGAUUUGGUUGUAAUGAUUUGCAGAUUGUUAUUGUGAUAGAUGGUUCUGGGAUAUGUACACAUCGCCCGUCGCUCUCGUUUGUUGUUAAUGAGAUAAGUCGUAACAAAGUGGUUGUACCGGAAGGUGCGGCUGGAUUGAU